AAGGGUGUAGCUCAGUGGCAGAGCGCAUGCUUAGCAUGCACGAGGUCCUGGGUUCAAUCUCCAGUACCUCCA
rnacentral:tRNA from 1 species